rnacentral:lncRNA from 1 species
GCCCUUACUUCCUCUGGGGUCCUUUGGCACUCUCUAGCUACUGGCAUGGAUGAGCAGAAGUCACUAUAAAAAAAAAAAAAAAUCCUAGACAAGAAGGGGAAAAAGUCUGAAAGACGUUUGCUUUCCUGCCUGGACUGGUAAAGAAAUGGACGGAGAAGUACUGACUCUCACUGGUGACAUCCCACUGACCUAUAGAUACUGUAG